rnacentral:rRNA from 1 species
GUGAACCUGCGGAAGGAUCAUUGUCGCAAACCAGAGCCACCGGUGAACCAGUUCUGUCANNNNNNNNNNUUUGCGGGUUGUGCAUCURRGGCCYCNAACNAGGCUGACUCNGNNGNNNUCCUCGCACUUGGAGGGCGCUUGGCCGAGUGGUGGUGGGGCCUUUUGGUGCCUGACCGAGCGAGCGGACACCUUUUGGGCGCGGCGUGCGCCAAGGACUUGAAGCGGACUGUGCGGCGUCCCCUCCCGGUGCCUCGCCCCGUCCGGUGCGUCGGGCGUGRCUCGCCGUGGGGUUCGGACCCGCGUCUCUGGAUCUAUAUAAGACGACUCUCGGCAACGGAUAUCUCGGCUCUCGCAUCGAUGAAGAACGUAGCGAAAUGCGAUACUUGGUGUGAAUUGCAGAAUCCCGUGAACCAUCGAGUCUUUGAACGCAAGUUGCGCCCGAGACCACUCGGCCGAGGGCACGCCUGCCUGGGCGUCAUGCCACACCCAUCGCUCCCCCGCGUUCGACCGCUGCGGUCGGCCGGGAGGCGGAGAUUGGCCGCCCGUGCCCCGAUUCGGUGCGCGGUUGGCACAAAGAGCGGGUCACGGUUUGGCACGACACGACGUGUGGUGGUUGAGAGGCGACUCGUCGCAGCUCGGACGUCGUCGCGCCGGAUGUCACGCCGUGCCCACCCGAUCGUGGGACCCAACGCGGAACUGCGACCCCAGGUCAGGCGGGGCCACCCGCU